UAGGGAAUAUUGGACAAUGGGUGAGAGCCUGAUCCAGCCAUGCCGCGUGCAGGAAGAAGGCGUUAUGCGUUGUAAACUGCUUUUUGCCAGGGGAUAAAAAGACCGUGCGCGGUUAAUUGAAGGUACCUGGUGAAUAAGCCACGGCUAACUACGUGCCAGCAGCCGCGGUAAUACGUAGGUGGCAAGCGUUGUCCGGAUUUAUUGGGUUUAAAGGGUGCGUAGGUGGCCCUGUAAGUCAGUGGUGAAAUAUCUCAGCUUAACUGAGAGGGUGCCAUUGAUACUGCAGGGCUUGAGUACAGAUGAGGUAGGCGGAAUUGACGGUGUAGCGGUGAAAUGCAUAGAUAUCGUCAAGAACACCGAUAGCGAAGGCAGCUUACCAAGCUGUAACUGACACUGAGGCACGAAAGUGUGGGGAUCAAACAGGAUUAGAUACCCUAGUAGUCCCUGAGCGGGCUGGCAAGGCGCAU
rnacentral:rRNA from 1 species